CGAACGUUAGCGGCGGGCCUAACACAUGCAAGUCGAACGAGAACGCUCCUUCGGGAGUUAUUAAAGUGGCGCACGGGUGAGGAACGCGUAGGUAAUCUACCCUUUGGCGGGGGACAACAUUCCGAAAGGAAUGCUAAUACCGCGUAAGACCACGCUCACUACGGUGAAAGCGGUUAAAGGUGCCUCAAAGCACCACCAGAGGAUGAGCCUGCGUCCCAUCAGCUUGUUGGUAAGGUAAUGGCUUACCAAGGCGAAGACGGGUAGCUGGUCUGAGAGGAUGAUCAGCCACACUGGCACUGGAACACGGGCCAGACUCCUACGGGAGGCAGCAGUGAGGAAUAUUGGGCAAUGGGCGAAAGCCUGACCCAGCCACGCCGCGUGUGUGAUGAAGGCCUUCGGGUCGUAAAGCACUGUGGGGAGAGACGAAACAGCGCGCCAGGAAAUGGGUGCGCCUUGACGGUACCUCCUUAGCAAGCACCGGCUAACUCU
rnacentral:rRNA from 1 species